rnacentral:rRNA from 1 species
AUGGAGCCACGUAUCUUCCGGGCUUUGGCAUCUUAUCUUAGAAGAGAAAAUUUCAUAUCGGAUACAAGAAUUAAGCUGGAGGAGAAGUUAGCCUUUUUCCUGUACAUGGUGUCUCACAAUGCAUCUGAUGAAGAUCUCCAGCUAGAAUUUCAACAUAGUGGACAAACAUUUCAUGAUGCAUUCAAUCGAGAACCAAGUGAAACUUCCCGCAGCUGCCGCAGUUCUUCACAAUAUCAUCAAAAUGGAGAAUGGUGA